UGAACGGCUUAAUGCAACAAAUGGCCUGCCCGUGAGCCAUACCUGCUUUCUGAGCUCCGCAGGGGAGAUGGUUUCUUUUUUCUUGCUUUUCUUCUGUGGCCCCUUGAGGGCCUUGGGAUGGUUUUCCUCCUUCAGUUUGGACGGCAAGACUCCCUCUUUCAAAUUAUUUUAAAAAAAUUUUUCCACACAUUUCUCCAGUUCUUUGGGGAGCAUAUGGUUUCCAGAUAAUCUGGUGCCAGACAGCCUUCAGCAGGAAAACAUUUUGUGCUAACUGUUCUAUUUUGGUUUUGAGUCCUCUUCCUCUCCCCCCAGCAGACAUAAAUCGUAUGUAAAUCUCUGCCAGGAGGACAACCUCAUGAAACAGAAGCAGAAAGACAGCUGAGCAGCGGCUGGAAUGGGGUGUGCAUGGUGGACAGAGGAGCAAGAUUCAGAUGGUCCGGGAGCUGCACGUGGACUUCGAGGUUCUAGAAUCACUCUCUGGUGGAUAUUUGCUGUGGAUCCAGCACUGGCUGAGGCAUUUGAGGGAAUCAAACAAAACGCAGAGCUGUGACCUUAAGGAAUAAUAAUCUAGCACAAGAGACAGGAUUUGAAGAGAGAUGCUGGGACCACUGACAGAAGAGUAAGAGUUGGAGAAGUUCUUUUAGAGGUCAUCUAGUACAACCUUCUACCCAAUGAAGAAGGUACUUUCUAUGGGAGGUAAAUAAGUGAUAGACCAGCAACCAGCUGGAUGGACAUCAGCAGCAGAGUGCCAGUAAUAGCUAAUAAUAACGCUGAUUGAAUGCUUAUUGUAUGUCAGACUUUGUUCUUCAUGUUUUACGUAUAUUAUUUAUUUAAUCCUCUUGGAAACUCUAUGGGAUAGGUAGUAUUAUUAGCACUAUUUGUGGGGAGGGAAACCGAAGUGCUGAGAAGUUAAACAAAUAAAAGGAGCACACGUGUCA
rnacentral:lncRNA from 1 species